CCCUUAGAUGCUCUGGGCCGCACGCGCGCUACACUGAUGCAUUCAACAAGCCUAGCCUUGACCGAGAGGUCCGGGUAAUCUUUGAAACUGCAUCGUGAUGGGGCUAGAUUAUUGCAAUUAUUAAUCUUCAACGAGGAAUGCCUAGUAAGCGUGAUUCAUCAAAUCGCGUUGAUUACGUCCCUGCCCUUUGUACACACCGCCCGUCGCUCCUACCGAUUGAAUGUGUUGGUGAGGAGCUCGGAUUGGCAGCAGUUGGUGGUUCGCCACCGGCUAUUGCUGAGAAGUCCUCCAAACCGCCCCAUUUGGAGGAAGGAGAAGUCGUAACA
rnacentral:rRNA from 1 species